rnacentral:rRNA from 1 species
GACGAACGCUGGCGGCGUGCCUAAUACAUGCAAGUCGAACGCUUCUUUCCUCCCAAGUGCUUGCACUCAAUUGGAAAGAGGAGUGGCGGACGGGUGAGUAACACGUGGGUAACCUACCCAUCAGAGGGGGAUAACACUUGGAAACAGGUGCUAAUACCGCAUAACAGUUUAUGCCGCAUGGCAUAAGAGUGAAAGGCGCUUUCGGGUGUCGCUGAUGGAUGGACCCGCGGUGCAUUAGCUAGUUGGUGAGGUAACGGCUCACCAAGGCCACGAUGCAUAGCCGACCUGAGAGGGUGAUCGGCCACACUGGGACUGAGACACGGCCCAGACUCCUACGGGAGGCAGCAGUAGGGAAUCUUCGGCAAUGGACGAAAGUCUGACCGAGCAACGCCGCGUGAGUGAAGAAGGUUUUCGGAUCGUAAAACUCUGUUGUUAGAGAAGAACAAGGACGUUAGUAACUGAACGUCCCCUGACGGUAUCUAACCAGAAAGCCACGGCUAACUACGUG